rnacentral:rRNA from 1 species
CAGCCGCGGGAAUACGGAGGGUGCAAGCGUUAAUCGGAAUUACUGGGCGUAAAGCGCACGCAGGCGGUCUGACAAGUCAGAUGUGAAAUCCCCGGGCUUAACCUGGGAACUGCAUUUGAAACUGUCAGGCUGGAGUCUUGUAGAGGGGGGUGGAAUUCCAGGUGUAGCGGUGAAAUGCGUAGAGAUCUGGAGGAAUACCGGUGGCGAAGGCGGCCCCCUGGACAAAGACUGACGCUCAGGUGCGAAAGCGUGGGGAGCAAACAGGAUUAGAUACCCCGGUAGUCCCUGUCUCUUAUACACA